UACGGAGGGGGCAAGCGUUGCUCGGAUUUACUGGGCGUAAAGGGCGCGUAGGCGGCCGGGUCAGUCAGACGUGAAAGCCCCUGGCUCAACCAGGGAAGGGCGUUUGAUACUGCCCGGCUUGAGUGCGGGAGAGGAAGGUGGAAUUCCCGGUGUAGCGGUGAAAUGCGUAGAUAUCGGGAAGAACACCGGUGGCGAAGGCGGCCUUCUGGACCGCUACUGACGCUGAGUGCGCGAAAGCUAGGGGAGCGAACGGG
rnacentral:rRNA from 1 species